UGCUGUGGCACGAUGUAAUUAUUGUUCCAGACAGCUGAAAGCAGCAGGGUUCCUGGUAUCCCCGCUCAGUUGCAGUCUGCCAUGAUUGCUGGCAUAGAAAGCUGCUGAUUAGGGCAGCGCCGUAUUACGUUCCACCCCAGAGGUCCAUCUGGAAGUACCCUGACUCACAGCUUCAUGGAACAGUCCCUUCCCCUCCUGCAGGGACCUGUUUGUGGAUGGCCCAGCAUUAGGACUGAUUUCACAAGAGGCAUCCAAACAGUGACUCUGAAGUGGGGCGGACCAGAACAGAAACCUGGAAAAGCUGUGGCCCAUUGGACCUGUCUACUGGCCACCUUCACAGGUCUCCAGGCAAGUGGGAGAAUUUACUUCUUGUCUUCCAUUUGGCUAGUCGGUUCACUGCCAAGGAGCCUGGGCUUAAUACCUUGUCACUCAGCCAGAUCAAUAACAGGACCCACUACACUACACAUGCUCCUCCCAAAAUGGCCCUGUAAAACCCAGUCCUGGUGGGAGAAAGCUGGCUUCGGUGAUCCAGGAUGAUCGACUAACUGGACCGAGAAGUGACGCCAAACCCUUUCCCGUCUCCGAAAAACCUCAGAGAAAUUACUUCCAGCCUAGUGAAGUCCUGUGGAAGCCAAGAGCCAACGCCCUAGCUCUCUGUGAGGAAAGUAAAAUGUGGGGGGAGUGAAUAAGGGGUAAGAAAGAGGGAGGCAGGAGGAGGAGGACUCCUACUCUCCCUCCUUUUUCCCCUCCUCUCCAUCCACCAUCUCUUCUAUUAUGUCCUGAAUAAUGGGCCCUCACUCUCUGAGUGGUACCUAGUAAAUCCAACUUUCAUCU